rnacentral:lncRNA from 1 species
GGUGCAAUUAACGAAGUUUUGGGUAUAGAGGGUUAUCCUGUUGUUGCAUUAGAUACAGAUAUUACUUCUUGGUGCGGAACUAUAGUCACACCUGGUCAACCUGCUUACAUUAAAGAAGAAAAUAAAAUUGAGUCUGAAACAGAUGUUAAAGACGAAACUUUAUUCGCUUCUAUUGAAAGUUAAAGAAUUGAGGAAUAAAGAAAGAUUUCCUUUGGCUUGUUAUCAGUGAUCUACAGGUAGAGAUUGAGACUUGUUAAGCUCACUUGUGACUAGUUUCAAUCGAUCAUUUUAUAAAUUGGACCUAUUAAUAUUUAUGAUCUUGAAAGAUUUAUGUUUUUAGUA